rnacentral:lncRNA from 1 species
ACUCGCAAAUACAUCACCUCCACGGAGGCUGACUCAUGAAAUUAGAACACAACAUCAUAAAGGAGCAGAGUGAAGGAGAGCUAGACUAGAACCACUUCCUGUCACUAAGCAUUCCAGCCCAUUGGUUCUUUCCUUGCUGACCAUGCCACAGUGGACCAGCAGAGGCUCUGCAACCUUCUGAAGUCUAAAGGAAGAAGUUCAAAAAGAGGAGGAAGUGGGUAGUUCAUUUCCUGUUUCCGGGUGCCUCUUAAUGACUGUGUGAGAGCUUGGAUCACUUCUCCUCUCUGGUUCCCAAACCACAAAUGGGAAAAACUGCCGUCCUGCAAUAGCCAUGGAGAAGAAAUGGCUACAGCUGAACCAUGAUACAGUCUUAGUCCAUCACCCAAAGGGUAAACCACCAAUCUGA